rnacentral:lncRNA from 1 species
ACCGUGGAAACCAGUUUAGAGAUUCUCAAAGAACUUAGAACUACCAUCAGACCCAGCAAUUCCACUACACUUGGUAUCUACCCAAAAGACAAUAAAUCCUUCUUCAAAAAGACACAAGCUCUCCUGCAUUCAUGGCCAUGCUGUUCACAAGAACAAAGAUGUGAAAGCAUCCUAGGUGACCAGCAACAGUGGUUGACUUUUUUUUUUUUAAUGUGGUGCAUACACACCACAAAAUACUACACAGCCAUAAGAAAAACACACAAUCAUGUCCUAAGCAGCGUGGAUAGACCUGGGGCUUAUUACAUUUAGCAAAUCAAGGCAAGAACGGAAAACCAAACACUCCAUGUUCUCACUUAUGAGUGGGAGCUAAACAGUGAAUACAUUCAAACAUAAAGAUGCAAACAAUAGACACUGGGGACUAUCAGAUGAAAAAAGGAGGCAGAAAGCGGGUGUGGGCAGAAGAAUCACCUGAUUGGCACUUUGCUCUCUACCUGGGUGAUGGGGUCAGUGGCCACAAGCCUCAGUGUCAUCAAAUGUUCACGUGUAACUAACCUACAUUUUAAUCAAAAUAAAAGUCUAUUUUUUUUUUUUAAAAAAAAACAGGGUUUCCCUGGGCACAGUGGCUCCCACAAGUACUCACGCACCUUGGGAGGCUGAGGCAGGCAGAUCAGUUGAGCCUGGGAGUUCAAGAGAAGUCUGGACAACAUGGCAAAACCCUACCUCUACAAAAAGUAUAAAAAAAUUAGUGGGGCAUGGUGGUGCGCACCUGUAGUCCCAGCUACUUGGGAGGCUGAGGAGAGAGGAUCACUUGAGCCCAGGAGGUCAAGGCUGCCAUGAGCCAAGACUGCAGCACUGCACUCCAGCCUGGGUGACAGAGCAAUAACCAGCCUCAAAAAAAAAAAAAAAAGGAUUAGGAUGUAUGCAUUAUAGAUAGAUAGAUAGAUAGAUAGAUAGAUAGAUAGAUAGAUAGAUAGGUAGGUAGAUAGAUAGAUAGAUAGAUAGAUACAUGGAUGAUAGACAAAACAAAACCUACAGUCAUCCAGGCAAUCACUGACUGGCAUAAACAUAGAAAGACAACCAAAUGGACAAAAUGAGGGAGCCAAGUAAUCAAUCCAAAAUUAGUGCAGACAUUUUUCAAAAGCACACCAAAGACACAACAGUUGAGAAAACUGGGUACUCAUGUGCACAAGAUUGAACUAGCACCUCUAUGUUGCCCAAUACACAAAAAUCUAUGAAAAACAAAUCAAAGAGUUAAAUUCAGUCCGGAGAGCAAAACACUCCAAGGAGAAAAUAUGGGAUAAGCAUAUAUUUAGGGAAAACUUGACCCUGUGCACACAGGUUGCAAAAAGAAAAAAGAAAAAGAGGCCGGGCGCGGUGGCUCAAGCCUGUAAUCCCAGCACUUUGGGAGGCCGAGGCGAGCACGAGGUCAGGAGAUCGAGACCAUCCUGGCUAACCAGGUGAAACCCCAUCUCUACUAAAAAUACAAAAACUAGCGGGCGAGGUGCGAGCCUGUAGUCCCAGCUACUCAGGAGGCUGAGGCAGGAGAAUGGCGGGAACCCGGAGGCGGAGCUUGCAGUGAGCUGAGAUCGCGCCACAGCACUCCAGCCUGGCGACAGAGUAAGACUCCGUCUCAAAAAAAAAAAGAAAAA